AUACGACGAUAAUACUGGAGUGGAGAACAUCAAUCGGAACCCACAUGAGGCAGACGGCCGUGCAAAAGCAAACUUUCUGCCGUGCUCUAUGCACGCACCUCACUGCCGCACCAACCAUCGUUUCAAGUCCGCUUAACUCCACCGUAGCUGCUUACGCACCUUCAUCACCACACGUGAUUGCAGCCAGCUAUGACAGAUCCCCCAAACUGAAAAUAGAAAUGUUCAACAGCAUUGAGGAGGACAGCAGCAACAAACAAACAAACCAACAAUUAAGGAUAAGCAACUUGGGUAGGAUCCUAUGAGGCACGCACAGACUUCUCCUCAUGUGUAGUCAACACUUGCACAUAAACUUGACAUGGUCAAUUUUUUUACAAAAUCGUGUCACAAAUCCCAAAUCAUAAAAUGCAUCUCGUGAGAUUUUGUGUCAUGCUAUUGAAUGUAUUGCACAGUUAACAUUUCGGUCCACUCUACUUCGGAGAUAAUAGAGUGACGACACAUAAAAAAUAAAAAAAUAAUUUAGGUUUCAUCGACUUCGUGUGAAGAGUAACUUGGUGAGCAACUGGGGACAGCAACCGAUGUACACUUGAAACUGAAUCUCCUGUGUUUUAAUUUCGCAUUACAAAGCUCCCAACUUCACAUGUUAUUUGCGAUCAUCUCCUCCAGCACGCAUCCCUGGAGCAUUCAUCACGCCAUUUAUGGGUGCCUCACGGAGGAAAGGCAAUAAUGGUGAGUUUAUGCACUAACCCUGUGCAAUUGACAUCUUCACACACCUC
rnacentral:lncRNA from 1 species